UAUCCGCCCGGCGCACAGGGCGGCGCGCGAGAUCGCCACAUCUACGCGGACCCUCCUCGUUGGCUCGGAGGGUGGCUCCCGCAUUGGAGUCGACGCCUAGUAACUAGACAGGAGGCAGGGCUCUCGAACUAGCUGUUCGAUCUUCAGGGCAGUGGGUCCUGUGUCUCCUUGGGCGUCGAAGGCCGGGGAAAUCCGUAGGAGGGGAGGACCAGGUCACCUCAGUGGAGGUGGCGGGAGGACGUCUUGAGGAUGCGGAGCGUGUGGCGGGAGGACGGCUGAGGUCGCUGAGGUUGUGAGAGAGGAGGGGCAGCAUUGCGAUCGGGCGACCCUCCACAGCCACAAGGGCAAAACCUGGGUUUCCAGUCCUUCCUGAUGGACUCAUGCAGGAACCCGAAAAGAAGAAACCUCAAAAUAAGAGCACCUGAGUUCAGUUAAAAAUGACAGUGACUCUCCAUCCUCUACGUGCCAGUUCCUCCGCGGAUGGACAGAGGCCCCACCCAAAGAAGCUGACAUACUGUCUGCAGCCUCAGGCUGUGUCCCCUGGGAGGGGCUGGGUCAGCUCAGGGACUGACUCUCCUAGGCAUCACGCUCUGAGCUCUUUCAAACCAUUUUGACACCCAGUUCCUCAUCUGAUCCUACUGUUGUGACAGAAAAGGCAACUGAGACCUAGAAGACUGGAACAGCUUCAGAGAAGUGGGCAAUGAGCUAGAGGCACACACAGCACUUCCUCUGUUGGACCAAUCACACUCCCAGGUGGAGAAGUGCUCCAGGACGUUUCAGCUGUAACAGAAACUGCGACCAAACUUGGCUUAAAUGAGGAUUUUAUUAUCUUACCUACCAAGAAGUCUGAGCAGAUCCUGGGUCGAUUCACUCAACAUGGAGUUACCUGGACCAGCUUCCUUCCAUUUCUCCACCCUCCCAGGCGGCCUCUCCUCACCCUAGGAAUCCAUGUGAGAAAACCACAGAAUUGAGUCAGGAGGACAGUUUUUCCAACUCCUUAAGGAAAGCCUGUAUAAAGAGAAUGAGAAGGGGGACCCAGAGGCUCAGGAGGUAGGGAAAUCCAUGUGUAACUACUUUUACAUUGCAUCCUGAAUGUGUUGGAGUUUUCAUUUUCCAUUUCUGCUGAGGAUUUCCUUUAGUAAUACAGUUUCCCAGUUAUUUCUGUUUACACAUUUGGCGGGGCGGGGCGGGGGUUGGAUCCAAGGUCAGCAGCCUGGAAUGAAGACUUGCUGAAUGAGUGGGAAGGGGUUGGAACAGGCUUUCUGGGAAAGCAGGGCACUUUGCUGGCAGCAGCUAUUCCCACCCAACAGCGGAAUGACUUCCAGGCCAGUUCACAUGAAGGCUGCAGGGAAGGGUCAGUGAGCCUUUAAGAGAGGAUGGGAUGAGUAGCACAUACUCAUGCAGAGGUGGGGGCUGUUGUCAGAAUACAGGCAGGUAUCCUCUGGGAUCACUUCUCCAAGAGUAAACCAAACAGGCCUGAGAUCAAGCCCUGAGAUUAGUAACUGGAUUCUAUUCUCCAUGUCUCCCUAACAAAAAGAACUGAAUGCUGGCAAAUCUCCAGAGUACUGAUUCAGCUACUGAAUUUUCCCUCCUGAUUCUAACUUACUGAAUAAUUUAACAACCAGAAAGGAAAUGAAAACAGAAGCAAAAGCAUCCAUCUUCUUUUCCAUAUCACCUUUUCAGUUUUCAUUUUGAUUUAAAUGUUUUAGACACGUAAACAAUUAUAGAUAAUACUUAGCUCCCUGCUCAUGAAAUGCAAUAUCACAAACACAAUUGUAUCUGCACAUGCCUCCCUAAUUUCAUCCCCCCCCUCCUAUAUAUGGUAUGUAUCAUUCCAUGCAUGUUUUCUCUAUAGUUAGGAUAUAUGAUACAGCAAAGUGCAAAACUAUAUAUGUACGGUUUGAAGAAUAAUUAUAAAGGAGCUACCCAUAAAACCACUCCUCAGUCAAGAACUAGAAUAUUACCAGUCCCCACAUACUCCAAGGGUCCUCCCUGCUGAAGACAACCUCCAUUCUCCCAGAGGUCACCAGCAUCUUUACUUUUCUGACAGUCAUUUCCUUGUUUUCCAAGUUUAACUACCCCUGUCUACACCACUGAGCAAUGCAGCUUAAUUUUUGUUUUCAGACUAAAUAAAGGCAGCGUUAUCCAUGCCA